UACGUAGGGUGCAAGCGUUAAUCGGAAUUACUGGGCGUAAAGCGUGCGCAGGCGGCUUUGCAAGACAGAUGUGAAAUCCCCGGGCUCAACCUGGGAGCUGCAUUUGUGACUGCAUGGCUGGAGUGCGGCAGAGGGGGAUGGAAUUCCGCGUGUAGCAGUGAAAUGCGUAGAUAUGCGGAGGAACACCGAUGGCGAAGGCAAUCCCCUGGGCCUGCACUGACGCUCAUGCACGAAAGCGUGGGGAGCAAACAGG
rnacentral:rRNA from 1 species